CAGAGAAUAGUUUAUAAAAAUUUUAAUUUUGGAGAUUAAAGAUAAGGACUUCCUUUUCUCUGA
rnacentral:tRNA from 1 species